rnacentral:lncRNA from 1 species
GGAGUAUAUAGUGCUACCACUAAGGAACCUCUGUGCUGACCCAGCAGUACUCAGUGUGAGAAUCCUUCAGACUGCAACAGGAUCCACCACCCUUUCUGGGAAGGAAGAGCUUGGGCUCUCUGCUUGGGAAGGAGCAAUCUAUUUAAGUAAGAAAAAAUAAGAACACUAAAACUACUUUUACUAGUGAUGUGACAAACAUAGCAAGUAGUUACAUGCUAAUUCAGGCUAUCACCUUUAAUUAGGACUUGAGGAGGCUGAGUUCUGCUGUCUUCAGUCUUUGGAAAUGAGCACUCAUGAUCAAAGAGCUAUCUUCUUUAAAUAAUUUAAAUAGGUAUCCAUUUUAAUUAAAGAAGAUAUUGAAUAUUGGAUAUGAAAAUGGCUGUUUUUUGGUUUUGUUUUUUUUUUUUAACCUUUAG